UCGAGUAAGAUUCGUAUUUCCUUAUGGAAUCGAAUGUCCAUCCUGUAAGUCGAGUUUUCUUUUUAAGUCCUCCUUUCAGAUGAUGAGUGUCUUGGAAAUGUUCCCAAUUCACGCCUGGUUGGUCACCUAUUAUAUACCCAGUAACCGGUAUCACUGGUGUUCCUUCCUUCUUCUCCCUAUUAUGACUUUUUGUCCCUUAUGGAGUCAGAUUUUCCUGAGUUAAGAUAUGCCUUUUGGGUCCUCCUCAGAGGUUUC
rnacentral:lncRNA from 1 species